rnacentral:rRNA from 1 species
GGUAACCUGCCCAUCAGAAGCGGAUAACACUUGGAAACAGGUGCUAAUACCGUAUUACACUAUUUUCCGCAUGGAAGAAAGUUGAAAGGCGCUUUUGCGUCACUGAUGGAUGGACCCGCGGUGCAUUAGCUAGUUGGUGAGGUAACGGCUCACCAAGGCCACGAUGCAUAGCCGACCUGAGAGGGUGAUCGGCCACACUGGGACUGAGACACGGCCCAGACUCCUACGGGAGGCAGCAGUAGGGAAUCUUCGGCAAUGGACGAAAGUCUGACCGAGCAACGCCGCGUGAGUGAAGAAGGUUUUCGGAUCGUAAAACUCUGUUGUUAGAGAAGAACAAGGAUGAGAGUAGAACGUUCAUCCCUUGACGGUAUCUAACCAGAAAGCCACGGCUAACUACGUGCCAGCAGCCGCGGUAAUACGUAGGUGGCAAGCGUUGUCCGGAUUUAUUGGGCGUAAAGCGAGCGCAGGCGGUUUCUUAAGUCUGAUGUGAAAGCCCCCGGCUCAACCGGGGAGGGUCAUUGGAAACUGGGAGACUUGAGUGCAGAAGAGGAGAGUGGAAUUCCAUGUGUAGCGGUGAAAUGCGUAGAUAUAUGGAGGAACACCAGUGGCGAAGGCGGCUCUCUGGUCUGUAACUGACGCUGAGGCUCGAAAGCGUGGGGAGCGAACAGGAUUAGAUACCCUGGUAGUCCACGCCGUAAAC